rnacentral:lncRNA from 1 species
UGAUUUAGUCUUGCUGACGUCCGCAGGCCCGGAGUCUCUUCCAUCCUUAUUCAGUUUGUUAGCUCUUGUAUUGAAACAGACUGUUAUGAUUUCUUUCAAACGAUUGUAUUUAGUAAUCCUAGAAGUUCGUGAGUAAUGUGAUACCAGUCUUUGGGUAGACGAUAUGUUAAACUUCCGCAUUUCUUUCAGUAAAUUAUAUUUGAGACUUCCGCUUUAUU